CUGCUUCUUUGACGCUGUAUGACCUUGGGCCAUUUUGUCCUCUGUAAAAUGGAGAUAAUCAUACCAGCCACCCCGUGCUGAGAAUUCAAUCAAAUGUCUGCAUGUUUAUUAAGCACACAGUGGCUGUUCCACAGCUGCUCCUGUCGGGCUGAGGAGCAGGCACCAUGGAGCCAGAGGACAUCCUGCUUGUUCUCUUUGGGAGAGAAAUAAAUAAUAUUGAGAGCAAACAUGAGCCAUGCCCUGAGCUAAGCACAGGAUGCAGCCCCCUCUCGGGUAAUCCUCUCAACGCCCCUGGUCGGGGAGAGGCCACAUGUGAAAGCGCAUUGACUGCCAUGAAGGCUUCCUCGCAAGUAAGAAAUUAGCCUGGGGGACCCCCUUAAACAUGGGUGCCUGAAUGGCCUUCAUUGGUAUCGCUUUCUCUCUUUGGGGUCUCUCUUUGGAGAGAAGUCACACACAGUCAACAAAUUGUAGUGCUGGGCACCAAAGUCACCCCCGCCCCCCCGCCCGCAACCCACUAGUCUGCAUCUCUCCAAAAGCAGCUUGCUCGAGGUAGAAGGCCAAGCUGUGACUGACAAUCGCACCCCACAGGGAAUGGAGGCAGCCGGGACUUAGAAUGUAAUUUCCUAAUUGGGAAUUCAUCCAGGCCACCAACCCAGUCCCCCACCCCAAGAAUCUUGGCCAAGGUCCUCAAGGUCUGUGACUCCACCUAUCCCUCUGGCUCAGGUUCCUCAAGCAUUAAAUGGGAACAUGGCUCUUCUCUGAAGCAGUUGAGGCUGGGGGCGGGACGGGGGGGAAACUGGACCCAGGUCAACUGGCCAUUCGCAGAUCAACUGGAUUUUAGUCCAAACUACUUAUUUUGCAGAUGAGGCUUCUGCAGCCCAGAGAAUAAAGUCACAUUUUCAAAGAGCACUCACAGCUCUAGAGGCAGAGUUCGACCUUGUACCUAUCUAUCUCCUGUCCAGUUUUCCUACCAAGCAGCUGCUUCAGCCAUAGAUGAGCAUGUAGAUAAUUAUUAAAUCACCAAAGAUUUGGUCCUAUUCUCUGCUACACUGUACUUUGAAAGAGAAAAGAGCUGAGAGCCUAGUGCAGGGACGACAUCUGGCCUGGGUCCCAUCACCCAGCCGGUGACUGUAUUGCAGUGGAAAUGACCCUCGACUGGUGUUAACUGGGCUGCUUUCUAGCCGUGUGCCCUUAGGAAACGUGUGUAGGGUUAAUCUCUGAGGGUGCCAGAGCUCAUCUGGGGACAUAAAAGGUCAGCUGGAAACAGGCU
rnacentral:lncRNA from 1 species